AUACUUACCUGGCAGGGGAGAUACCAUGAUCACUAAGGUGGUUCUCCCAGGGCAAGGCUCAUCCAUUGCACUCCGGGUGUGCUGACCCCUGCGAUUUCCCCAAAUGCGGGAAACUCGACUGCAGAAUUUGUGGUAUUUGUGAAAUUUCCAAAUUUUUUAAA
rnacentral:snRNA from 1 species